GGCUCCUUCGGGAGUACUCGAGCGGCGAAAGGGAGAGUAACGCGUGGAUAUUUACCCUCGGAUCUGGGAUAGCGGCGGGAAACUGCCAGUAAUACCAGAUAACGUCUCCGGACCAAAGGUGUGAUUCCGUCCGAGGAUAAGUCCGCGUCCUAUUAGCUUGUUGGUGGGGUAAUGGCCUACCAAGGCUGUGAUGGGUACCGGGUGUGAGAGCAUGGCCCGGCUCACUGGGACUGAGACACUGCCCAGACACCUACGGGUGGCUGCAGUCGAGAAUCUUCGGCAAUGGGCGCAAGCCUGACCGAGCGACGCCGCGUGCGGGAUGAAGGCCUUCGGGUUGUAAACCGCUGUCAGAGGGGAGGAAAUGCAUGAGGGUUCUCUCUCAUGUUUGACCGAUCUUCAGAGGAAGUACGGGCUAAGUUCGUGCCAGCAGCCGCGGUAAUACGAACCGUACGAACGUUAUUCGGAAUCACUGGGCUUAAAGAGUGCGUAGGCGGCUUGGAAAGUUGGGUGUGAAAUCCCUCGGCUCAACCGAGGAAUUGCGCCCAAAACUGUCAAGCUUGA
rnacentral:rRNA from 1 species